rnacentral:rRNA from 1 species
UACGGAGGGUGCAAGCGUUAUCCGGAUUCACUGGGUUUAAAGGGUGUGUAGGCGGGUAUUUAAGUCAGUGGUGAAAUCUCCAGGCUCAACCUGGAAACUGCCAUUGAUACUAUUUAUCUUGAAUCCUGUUGAGGUGGGCGGAAUAUAUCAUGUAGCGGUGAAAUGCUUAGAUAUGAUAUAGAACACCGAUUGCGAAGGCAGCUCACUAAACAGGCAUUGACGCUGAGGCACGAAAGCGUGGGGAUCAAACAGG